rnacentral:rRNA from 1 species
AUUGUACGCUGGCGGCAGGCUUAACACAUGCAAGUCGAGCGGAGAUGAGGUGCUUGCACCUUAUCUUAGCGGCGGACGGGUGAGUAAUGCUUAGGAAUCUGCCUAUUAGUGGGGGACAACAUUCCGAAAGGAAUGCUAAUACCGCAUACGCCCUACGGGGGAAAGCAGGGGAUCUUCGGACCUUGCGCUAAUAAAUGAGCCUAAGUCGGAUUAGCUAGUUGGUGGGGUAAAGGCCUACCAAGGCGACGAUCUGUAGCGGGUCUGAGAGGAUGAUCCGCCACACUGGGACUGAGACACGGCCCAGACUCCUACGGGAGGCAGCAGUGGGGAAUAUUGGACAAUGGGCGGAAGCCUGAUCCAGCCAUGCCGCGUGUGUAAAGAAGGCCUUUUGGUUGUAAAGCACUUUAAGCGAGGAGGAGGCUACCUGGAUUAAUACUCUAGGAUAGUGGACGUUACUCGCAGAAUAAGCACCGGCUAACUCUGUGCCAGCAGCCGCCGUAAAAC